UAAGAGGUCCCGCCUGCCCUGUGACUAUGGGUUUAACGGCCGCGGUAUUUUGACCGUGCGAAGGUAGCGCAAUCACUUGUCUUUUAAAUGAAGACCUGUAUGAAUGGCAUCACGAGGGCUUAGCUGUCUCCUCUUCCAAGUCAGUGAAAUUGAUCUGCCCGUGCAGAAGCGGGCAUAAGUACAUAAGACGAGAAGACCCUAUGGAGCUUUAGACACCAGGCAGAUCACGUCAAGCAACCUUGAGUUAACAGUAAAAACGCAGUGACCCCUAGCCCAUAUGUCUUUGGUUGGGGCGACCGCGGGGGAAAACAAAGCCCCCAUGUGGACUGGGGGCACUGCCCCCACAGCCGAGAGCUACAGCUCUAAGCACCAGAAUUUCUGACCAGAAAUGAUCCGGCGAACGCCGAUCAACGGACCGAGUUACCCUAGGGAUAACAGCGCAAUCCUCUCCCAGAGUCCCUAUCGACGAGGGGGUUUACGACCUCGAUGUUGGAUCAGGACAUCCUAAUGGUGCAGCCGCUAUUAAGGGUUCGUUUGUUCAACGAUUAAAGUCCUACGUGAUCUGAGUUCAGACCGGAGUAAUCCAGGUCAGUUUCUAUCUAUGAAGUGAUGUUUCCUAGUACGAAAGGACCGGAAAGAAGGGGCCCAUGCUUAAGGCACGCCCCACCCCCACCUGAUGAAGGCAACUAAAACAGGCAAGGGGGCACACCAAGGUGUGCCUGAGAUAACGGCGC
rnacentral:rRNA from 1 species